GACGAACGUUGGCGGCGUGCUUAAUACAUGCAAGUCCACUGAAGCAGUGGUAGCAAUAUCGCUGUGGAGGUGGCGCACGGGUGAGUAACACGUAGGUAAUCUGCCUUCAGGUCUGGCAUAACUCCGGGAAACCGGGGCUAAUAGCAGAUGAUGCAGCGGCUCGACAUCGAGACAGUUGUUAAAGCUAUGGCGCCUGAAGAUGAGCCUGCGUCUGAUUAGCUAGUUGGCGGGGUAACGGCCCACCAAGGCAACGAUCAGUAGCUGGUCUGAGAGGAUGAUCAGCCACACUGGAACUGAGACACGGUCCAGACUCCGACGGGAGGCAGCAGUAAGGAAUAUUGCUCAAUGGGAGAAAUCCUGAAGCAGCAACGCCGCGUGAGGGACGAAGGGCUUUUGCUUGCAAACCUCUGUAGUGAGAGAAAAAAAUCCCAAUCUUUGGGACAUGAUGGUAUCUCAAAAGUAAGCCCCGGCUAACUACGUG
rnacentral:rRNA from 1 species